AAUGAACGCUGGCGGCGUGCCUUACACAUGCAAGUCGAGCGAGGCGGGUAGCAAUACCCAGUCGAGCGGCGAACGGGUGAGUAACGCGUGGAUAAUCUGCCCUUCAGUGGGGAAUAACCAACCGAAAGGUUGGCUAAUACCGCAUGAGACCACGACCUCUGCGGAGGUUGCGGUUAAAGAUUUAUCGCUGAAGGAUGAGUCUGCGUGGGAUUAGCUAGUUGGUGAGGUAACGGCUCACCAAGGCUACGAUCCCUAGCUGGUCUGAGAGGAUGGCCAGCCACACUGGAACUGAGACACGGUCCAGACUCCUACGGGAGGCAGCAGUAGGGAAUAUUGCGCAAUGGGCGAAAGCCUGACGCAGCGACGCCGCGUGAGUGAUGAAGGCCUUAGGGUCGUAAAGCUCUGUUGAACGGGAAGAAAAAAAUGACGGUACCGUUCGAGAAAGGACCGGCUAACUUCGUGCCAGCAGCCGCCGUAAGAC
rnacentral:rRNA from 1 species